CGGGGUGUAGCGCAGUCAGGUCAGCGCACCUGCUUUGGGAGCAGGGGGUCGGUGGUUCAAAUCCACUCACCCCGA
rnacentral:tRNA from 1 species